rnacentral:rRNA from 1 species
AUUGAACGCUGGCGGCAUGCCUUACACAUGCAAGUCGAACGGCAGCACGGGAGCAAUCCUGGUGGCGAGUGGCGAACGGGUGAGUAAUAUAUCGGAACGUGCCCGGUCGUGGGGGAUAACGUAGCGAAAGCUACGCUAAUACCGCAUACGAUCUAUGGAUGAAAGCGGGGGAUCGCAAGACCUCGCGCGAUUGGAGCGGCCGAUAUCAGAUUAGGUAGUUGGUGAGGUAAAGGCUCACCAAGCCGACGAUCUGUAGCUGGUCUGAGAGGACGACCAGCCACACUGGGACUGAGACACGGCCCAGACUCCUACGGAGGCAGCAGUGGGGAAUUUUGGGACAAUGGGCGCAAGCCUGAUCCAGCAAUGCCGCGUGCAGGAUGAAGGCC